GGGGAUUUAGCUCAGUGGUAGAGCGCUUGCCUAGCAAGCGCAAGGCCCUGGGUUCGGUCCCCAGCUUCA
rfam:Rattus norvegicus chromosome 3, whole genome shotgun sequence.